rnacentral:rRNA from 1 species
CUUCCGGAGCUAACGCGUUAAGUAGACCGCCUGGGGAGUACGGCCGCAAGGUUAAAACUCAAAUGAAUUGACGGGGGCCCGCACAAGCGGUGGAGCAUGUGGUUUAAUUCGAUGCAACGCGAAGAACCUUACCUGGUCUUGACAUCCACAGAACUUUCCAGAGAUGGAUUGGUGCCUUCGGGAACUGUGAGACAGGUGCUGCAUGGCUGUCGUCAGCUCGUGUUGUGAAAUGUUGGGUUAAGUCCCGCAACGAGCGCAACCCUUAUCCUUUGUUGCCAGCGGUCCGGCCGGGAACUCAAAGGAGACUGCCAGUGAUAAACUGGAGGAAGGUGGGGAUGACGUCAAGUCAUCAUGGCCCUUACGACCAGGGCUACACACGUGCUACAAUGGCGCAUACAAAGAGAAGCGACCUCGCGAGAGCAAGCGGACCUCAUAAA